rnacentral:lncRNA from 1 species
CUGCACAGCUGUCAGAAGCAGCUCCCCGCCGCCUGGCACCAGCACCUGGGGAGGGGCCACCACUCAUCAGCCUUCACAGAGAUGCCCCAGGCUGGGAAAGAAAGACCAGCAGGCCGGACAUUCUGUGCCACCACUCCCUCGUCCUUAGCUGCAGGGAUCUUGCCCUUCAUCCAGAGACUGAGACCUGGAAGCGAGGCCCACCUCUGCACCUGCCCC